rnacentral:rRNA from 1 species
GACGAACGCUGGCGGCGUGCCUAAUACAUGCAAGUUGAGCGCUGAAGGUUGGUACUUGUACCAACUGGAUGAGCAGCGAACGGGUGAGUAACGCGUGGGGAAUCUGCCUUUGAGCGGGGGACAACAUUUGGAAACGAAUGCUAAUACCGCAUAAAAACUUUAAACACAAGUUUUAAGUUUGAAAGAUGCAAUUGCAUCACUCAAAGAUGAUCCCGCGUUGUAUUAGCUAGUUGGUGAGGUAAAGGCUCACCAAGGCGAUGAUACAUAGCCGACCUGAGAGGGUGAUCGGCCACACUGGGACUGAGACACGACCCAAACUCCUGCGGGAGGCAGCAGCAGGGAAUCUUCGGCAAUGGACGAAAGUCUGACCGAGCAACGCCGCGUGAGUGAAGAAGGUUUUCGGAUCGUAAAACUCUGUUGGUAGAGAAGAACGUUGGUGAGAGUGGAAAGCUCAUCAAGUGACGGUAACUACCCAGAAAGGUACGGCUAACUACGUG